AACGAACGCUGGCGGCAGGCUUAACACAUGCAAGUCGAACGCCCCGCAAGGGGAGUGGCAGACGGGUGAGUAACGCGUGGGAAUCUACCUAGUUCUACGGAACAACACAGGGAAACUUGUGCUAAUACCGUAUACGCCCUACGGGGGAAAGAUUUAUCGGAAUUAGAUGAGCCCGCGUAAGAUUAGCUAGUUGGUGGGGUAAUGGCCUACCAAGGCGACGAUCCUUAGCUGGUCUGAGAGGAUGAUCAGCCACAUUGGGACUGAGACACGGCCCAAACUCCUACGGGAGGCAGCAGUGGGGAAUAUUGGACAAUGGGCGCAAGCCUGAUCCAGCCAUGCCGCGUGAGUGAUGAAGGCCUUAGGGUUGUAAAGCUCUUUCACCGGAGAAGAUAAUGACGGUAUCCGGAGAAGAAGCCCCGGCUAACUUCGUGCCAGCCGCCGCGGUAACAC
rnacentral:rRNA from 1 species